GAUCAUGGCUCAGGACGAACGCUGGCGGCGUGCUUAACACAUGCAAGUCGAACGCUGAAGGCUCAGCUUGCUGGGCUGGAUGAGUGGCGAACGGGUGAGUAACACGUGAGUAACCUGCCCUCUUCUUUGGGAUAACGGUCGGAAACGGCUGCUAAUACCGGGUAUUCACUGUCCUUCGCAUGGGGGUGGUGGAAGGUUUUCUUGGUGGGGGAGUGGGCGUCGCGGCCUAUCAGCUUGUUGGUGGGGUGG
rnacentral:rRNA from 1 species